rnacentral:rRNA from 1 species
AACGAACGCUGGCGGCAUGCCUAACACAUGCAAGUCGAACGAGACCUUCGGGUCUAGUGGCGCACGGGUGCGUAACGCGUGGGAACCUGCCCUUAGGUUCGGAAUAACUCCCCGAAAGGGGUGCUAAUACCGGAUAAUGUCUUCGGACCAAAGAUUUAUCGCCUUUGGAUGGGCCCGCGUUGGAUUAGCUAGUUGGUAGGGUAAAAGCCUGCCAAGGCGACGAUCCAUAGCUGGUCUGAGAGGAUGAUCAGCCACACUGGGACUGAGACACGGCCCAGACUACUACGGGAGGCAGCAGUGGGGAAUAUUGGACAAUGGGCGAAAGCCUGAUCCAGCAAUGCCGCGUGAGUGAUGAAGGCCUUAGGGUUGUAAAGCUCUUUUACCCGGGAUGAUAAUGACAGUACCGGGAGAAUAAGCUCCGGCUAACUCCGUG